GUUGGAGUGAGGCUUUGGUGAGAGGAGGUAGAUGCUAAGGUGAUUGACGCCAAUGUGGGGACAGCAGACUCUUCAGAGAUGGGGCAGGAAGUGGCUUUUGGGGCAGUAGGUGGCCAGCUGCCGAACAUCAGGAACCUCUUCAGAAUGUGGGAUUUCUGGAACCACAUGUGGAUCUCUGCUCCAAAGUGCAAUCUGACAACACCACAGGAGAUGGCUUGCUACAGGUCUAGAUGCUGCUCGACCUGCUGAGCUCCCCCAGCAGAUUGUUUGUUGUCCAUGAAGCCUUGCCAAGUUGUUAUCUGUAACUGUUCUCCAAGCCCAUCAACUCGACUAGAACCUUUCAAGUUGCUUCCAACCUCCUGCUGCUACUUGGCCCUGUUAGACAACUAUUGCAGCAGUCUAAGCAAAUGUGGAAAUGGCUUGAUUGCUCUUAGUCUCUGGAAGGGGGGUGGAAUUGCAUUCUCAUCUUGGACAUGGUAAUGUACAUCUAAUCAGGACUCCUGGCAUCUACAAAGUGCGGUUGAUAUUUUAUAAAUUUAAGAGUUGGAUGUAAAAUAUCUCAAGUUCAUUUAUAAUUCAUUUUAUUUACAAUAAGCUUUGUGCACCAACUUCAAAACAGAAAAUAAGAUAGUCCAGUGUAACAUGAUGUAACAUGACCAUUUUGCAUACUUAGAAAUUUAGCUCUCUAAUAUUGCAUCCACUGUGACCGUUAUUCGCUUCAGUGGCAGACUGCAAUAUACAAUAUCAAUGCUGUCAAAGUGUUUGUGUUUCACCAAGCAGAUGAUUCUCCCCAUGGUUUCUCUGAACAUUGUACAACAAAAACAACAUUUGGAAAAAAGUACUGUAAAAGCUUAAUGGUCAUUCUUGAAUGCUCUUUUCUAAUUGGUUGACCUGUGAACAAAUUUACCAGCUGAAAAUAUAUUUUAGUCAAAAUAGAAUUUUGUUUGAUCUUCAUUCUGCAAAUCCUUCAUCCAGAUGAUUAGGGUCACCAUUCUCUGGAUUUAUUCCAUUUGAAUGCCUAUGCUUGCAGUGUUAGUUUACCUAUUGAAACCUGAAUUGGGACGAACCAGGCGACUUCUCAUCUAAAAAUACUUGCUACAGGAAAGCAAUUAUUUGCCUACCUCCUUAAACAUACACAUCCUGUGCUUGAGGUACCACAAUUUUCCAAGGGGCGGAAACAAUCAAUGAACUAAAAGAGAUGUUUAAAAAAAAAAGUGGUUAAUAGGAAAAAUUAUUAAAAGGUGAAUGACAAUGUAUAAUUUAUGUGUGAGCAAUUGACAUGUUAAACAUUGGUAGAGGAGUUCUUUUCUGAGUUAGCCCUCCUGAUGCACAAACUGGGAGAUGUGUCACAGAUCAUAGGCAACAUAUGUG